rnacentral:lncRNA from 1 species
GCAAGCUCUGCGUGGUCUUGGGUGGCGAGUUCGAGCCUUAGAACGGCCGAGUGCCCUGGAACCGGUUUCGGCUCUGGCGUCCUCGCGUGUCCUCCGGCUCCAGGUUACAACGUCAGUAUUGGCGCCUUGGCGCGGUCCCGUCCUGCUCUCGUCCUCCGUUCCGUGGACCCCGGGGCUGUUCUGGCGCCUCGCAGGCCGGGCCCCUCCCAUCGACUCGAUGGGCAGGGCUCUGCGAGGCUCGGGGACCGGGGACGCGCGGCCUUCCUGACAAGGAGCCCGAGGGUCUGCACAGCCUGGGGCACCACCCGGCCUGGUGAGGAUGAUCGCUGUGCGCGCGAUGCACAUGCGCCCUCAACACCUCUGCACAUUCAUGCACGUGUCCAUACAUGGGUGCACACACGUCCUUACACGUAUGUACAUACGCAUGUGUACACACGCCCAUGUCUACACGCGCACAUGUCUGCACACGAGUCACACGUGCAAGUGCACGCAUGGAUGGUGGACACGCGUUUACACACGUGAAUAUGUGUAUACACAUGCAGACACAUGUGCCUGCCCACAUGGAUGUGUGCACAAACAAGCACAGAGGUCCUCAGUGGCUCACUCCUGGUGGCCGUGUGCUGUGGGCUGGGAAUGGCCAUACUCAUUUCUCAGAGCUUUUGAGUUGUGUGUGUUUCCAGUUGUGCAUAUUAAUUAGAAAAAACAAAAGUGAAUUUGUAGGUUAAGGCAGGUCCUUAAGUUUCCUUAAUUUCCUCUCCCUGGAGACCUGGCAGGCUGGGCCGGGCACUGCUGCGGAAGGCCAGCCGCACCCUGAGUCAGGUCUUCUCCAGAAGGUUCAGGGCAAGCUCUGGAUUACAGAUAGGAAACCAAAUGCAUGAGGAAGGCACUGCUCACCCUGCAAUGACGGUCAAGGUGUGGGGUGGGGAGCAGCAGCCUGGAGGUCAGAGCCAGGACCUUGGGGGCUGAGAGUGGUGUGCUUGCCUGGUGAUCUUCAGCAAUGGGAGGCCUGGUGUCACCCUGGGGCCCAGACUGUGAAGGACUGGUGGCUUUGGGGAUCUGCGUGAUCCAGGGGGCCCAAGCAUCUGCCCAGCCGGCAUUCUGUGCACUGCCCACCUGCCUGUGUUG